AAAGUCCUAACGGCAGUAAGGAUUUACAAGGCUGCCUGGUUGAAGAUGAUCUUUGCAAAUCUUUUGAAAUCUGUGUAAAUGAAUGGAGGACUAUCGCUUCUGUAAGGCACAUGGACUCUUUGUUCUGAAGACAGAAAUAUG